CACGUCCAGACAAGAAUGGAGGCAGCAGGAUGUACAUUGAAAUGGCUUCCCCAGUGUAUGGCAACUCCAGUAUGCUUGCUCCCAGUUCCUCGGACACGCCUGGGAUAGGAAACAGGGGGAAAGGUUCUAAAAAAGGGUUGCGUGGUAGGUGCGUUCACUGGUCUGGGCUGUGUUGGUGUGUGUUCUGAAGAGAUGACCGCAGACACGCUGGCUGCUGAUGACUAUAUAGAGCCGCACAGAGGCAGUGUACUGUACAAGCUGGAUGGAAGUAUGCAAACCUCGCAAUGAAGAUGGAAAAGUAACAUGAACAAGGUUGUGAAUGUUCGGGUGUGGUGUGGAUGAGCAAGUGAGCGAGCUGGCAUUGGGAGCCGAGCGGGGGAGGCUACGUGAGGCUAGCCAAGAUGUAGGAAGAUUGUACUGUACUUAUGCUAUGGAAUGGUGUUGUUACUGUAAAGCAUACUUAAGAAAGAU